GAUGAACGCUGGCGGCGUGCCUAACACAUGCAAGUCGAGCGUGAUUUAUGAGGACGAAACUUCGGUCUAGGAAUCAUAAUGAAAGCGGCGGACGGGUGAGUAACGCGUAGGCAACCUGCCCUUAACACAGGGAUAGCCUCGGGAAACCGGGAUUAAAACCUGAUGAUGCCAAAGAGUCACAUGGCUCGUUGGCCAAAGAUUUAUCGGUUAAGGAUGGGCCUGCGUCUGAUUAGUUUGUUGGUGGGGUAACGGCCUACCAAGACUACGAUCAGUAGCCGACCUGAGAGGAUGAUCGGCCACAUUGGAACUGAGACACGGUCCAAACUCCUACGGGAGGCUGCAGUGGGGAAUAUUGCACAAUGGGCGAAAGCCUGAUGCAGCAACGCCGCGUGAGCGAUGAAGGCCUUUGGGUCGUAAAGCUCUGUCCUUGGGGAAGAAACAAAUGACGGUACCCAAGGAGGAAGCCCCGGCUAACUACGUGCCAGCCGCCGCGGUAAUAC
rnacentral:rRNA from 1 species